UACGAAGGGGGCUAGCGUUGCUCGGAAUCACUGGGCGUAAAGGGUGCGUAGGCGGAUUGUUAAGUCGGGGGUGAAAUCCUGGAGCUCAACUCCAGAACUGCCUUCGAAACUAGCGAUCUUGAGUCCGGGAGAGGUGAGUGGAACUGCGAGUGUAGAGGUGAAAUUCGUAGAUAUUCGCAAGAACACCAGUGGCGAAGGCGGCUCACUGGCCCGGUACUGACGCUGAGGUGCGAAAGCGUGGGGAGCAAACAGG
rnacentral:rRNA from 1 species